rnacentral:tRNA from 1 species
GCGACCGUAGCUUAACUGGUUCGAGCGCCGUAGUACCAUUUUGGAGGCCGCCGGUUCAAGUCCCGCGGCCCUCA